CGCACAUUGCGCCCCUUGGUAUUCCAUGGGGCAUGCCUGUUCGAGCGUCAUUUGUACCCUCAAGCUCUGCUUGGUGUUGGGUGUUUGUCUCGCCAUUGCGCGUGGACUCGCCUUAAAGCAAUUGGCAGCCGGCAAAAGCCUGGGAGCGCAGCACAAUUGUUGCUCUCGGAUUGCUUGUCGAGCGUCCAGCAAGCCUAUUAUUCUUGCGUUUGACCUCGGAUCAGGUAGGGAUACCCGCUGAACUUAA
rnacentral:misc_RNA from 1 species